UUUGUGAUCCUGCCGGCCCAAAGCACAAAGCCCAUCCUCACGUACGUCAAGAAAUUCUAUACAUGCGAUUCAUAUGUUAUCAUCAAUGGUUGUUAGAUUCACUAUGUGCCUUUGACCCAACGCCUUGAUUCCAGUCCAUUGGUAAUCAGGAAUUAAGUACCCUACCCAAGCCGGCUAGCCGCCUCCUCCUCUUGAUUCCGAUUUCCCCAUAUUCCUCUUGGUAACAUCCGUGGAAACAAGAUUCAUGUCGUCCUAUUUCAAUUGGAUCAUCUCCCCUCCAUCCAUCAUGGAUUGAUCUAUUCUCCAUGACCAUGCGACUAGAACGACGGAGUAAUUGGCCAGAUCAUUUGAAGGAGGCAAAAGCUUUUCGGUGUCGUUGGAGCAUGGAAGGCCACGCUCAGCAAGGAAAGUACAACCCCGAGAGGAAGAAGCAGGCAUCUGGUCCGAUGGUUGGAGCGGAUGAGGCUACCAGCACCAUGACCCACACCCAGCAAGUGGAAGCACGUCAAUACGUCACUGUAGCAAAAGCCUAGAAGUAGGUGAAGAGCUCCUCAAGGUUUUGCUUGGAUACAUGUAUAUCUAAUUUUCCCAUCUCCAAUUUUCUACGUGGCCUCCCACAAGUGGACACUUCUUCCCGUUCUCUUUUCAUUGCCUC
rnacentral:lncRNA from 1 species